GAGCGUAUGGCUCAGUGGUAUAGUGCCUGCCUAGCAUGCACAAGGGCCGGGGUUCAAUCCCCAGUACUUCCA
rnacentral:tRNA from 1 species